CACUCUUUUUCCUAAGGCAGUACCGGCUGAUACAAUCAGACAUUAGCAAUUGGGCUAACUAUAGAUUAUGAUCUGAAAGGCUAACUAUAGAUUAAGAUCUGAAAAACAGUCAUCCUUCUACAAAUGACAAUAAGUUAUAACUACAUUUUUUUUUUUUUUUUUUGUAGGAAAGCCAA
rnacentral:lncRNA from 1 species